GUAGAGAGCAUAGCAACCACCCUGGGAGGGCCUAUGAGCCAUAACAACCAGUUGACCAAUCAACACAGGGCAAGUCCUCCAAGCCUGGAGGCACACCAAUCAUGAGCCUGUGCGUACCCCUAGACACUCCCCUUACGCUGCCCUAUAAGAUCUUUGGGGAGACCUUAGGAGCCGUCUUUUCUAGCCGUCAGCCAUGGCGGGUGGGUGAAAGACCCGAGCUAACAUGGGGUUAGUUCGUUAAAUUACAAUAAAGCCUCGUGCAGUUUGCAGCAAGCUCUCGAAUCCGCCUGGUGAUUGGGGUGACCGCGAACCUGGCCUGAGACCCCGGAUACUUGAGUUUUCGGGGGUCUAACAUUUUGGGGGCUCGUCCGCGAUUUGCGACCACCCUUCACCUGAGUGGAUUCGAUCUUGGAGUUUAUAAUGUCAGACAGACCGCCAGAUCCGGACAGUGACCCAAAGUCUCCAAAGAAGAUUAUGAGGCAACCCAGUUCCUGCACCUGGACCAGUGAGCAAGAUGCUCAGAUGUGAUACCUGCCGCCUGCCAGAACCUAGCCGAGACUGUGGACAAAGCUGCUGGACACUGGAAAAUUGAUUGCACCCCUUUGCCUAGACAAAACAAGGUUUCUGCUUCUGGCAGACAUCUGAAUAUCAGUUGCUGACUACAGACUGUUCUAAGACUGCGAGCCCUAGACUUGCUGUGGAUGUGAACCAGUUCAGCUGAUAUGGACACCCCCUGUCUCUGCAACAGUGUCUGCUACCCAGAAGCCCCUGAUGAAUUCCCC
rnacentral:lncRNA from 1 species